rnacentral:rRNA from 1 species
UACGGAGGAUGCGAGCGUUAUCCGGAUUUAUUGGGUUUAAAGGGUGCGUAGGCGGGCUUUUAAGUCAGCGGUAAAAAUUCGGGGCUCAACCCCGUCCGGCCAUUGAAACUGGGGGCCUUGAGUGGGCGAGAAGAAGGCGGAAUGCGUGGUGUAGCGGUGAAAUGCAUAGAUAUCACGCAGAACCCCGAUUGCGAAGGCAGCCUUCCGGCGCCCUACUGACGCUGAGGCACGAAAGUGCGGGGAUCGAACAGG